rnacentral:rRNA from 1 species
UACGUAGGUGGCAAGCGUUGUCCGGAUUUACUGGGCGUAAAGAGCGCGCAGGCGGUCGUCCAAGUCGCCUGUGAAAGCCCCCGGCUCAACUGGGGAGGGUCACGCGAUACUGGUCGACUCGAAGGCAGGAGAGGGUAGUGGAAUUCCCGGUGUAGUGGUGAAAUGCGUAGAUAUCGGGAGGAACACCAGUGGCGAAGGCGACUACCUGGCCUGUUCUUGACGCUGAGGCGCGAAAGCUAGGGGAGCAAACGGG